rnacentral:rRNA from 1 species
CAGCCGCCGCGGGAAUACAUAGGGUGCGAGCGUUAAUCGGAUUUACUGGGCGUAAAGCGUGCGUAGGCGGCUUCUUAAGUCGGAUGUGAAAUCCCUGAGCUUAACUUAGGAAUUGCAUUCGAUACUGGGAAGCUAGAGUAUGGGAGAGGAUGGUAGAAUUCCAGGUGUAGCGGUGAAAUGCGUAGAGAUCUGGAGGAAUACCGAUGGCGAAGGCAGCCAUCUGGCCUAAUACUGACGCUGAGGUACGAAAGCAUGGGGAGCAAACAGGAUUAGAUACCCCCGUAGUCCCUGUCUCUUAUAC